CACCCGCGGGCCCGGGGGCUCCGCGCCCCGCACAGGCCGCUCCGGAGCGGAGCCCCCUGCCCGCGCCCCGCGGGACCCCGGCCCUGCUGGCUCCGCAUCGCCGCCGAGACUCAGUCUGAGAGUAAAGGAGCCCACGCACUGCCUGUGGGUGACGGCCUGUGGAGGGCUUUUUUAGCGAGCAGUGGACAUGUGAGCAAUCCAGCCUUUGCUGUAAACACCGGCCCCGCCAAGGCCGUUGCCAUGGAUACCGACUGAAAAAGUCAGCCGCCAAGUAAACAACUUUGGGAUGUGCCAAAGGAGGAAGUGAGGCGGAGAGUCAUGACUGCACAUGUGCUUGCUGGGAACCCAUCACUGUUUAGGUCGUGGCAGGCUUUGUGAGACGGGACCAAUGACACGAGUGGUUUCGGUCGCGUGUGCACAGCCAGGGGCUAUAUAAGAGAGCUUAAAAUAAAUUUAAAAUAAAUUGUCAGCCACCUAA